UUUCCUUGCAAUGCUUCCCUGCUAUCUUCAGUAGGUCGGUUUCUUGAGGGAGAAGACUGAAUCAGCCAGCUGCACCAGUUGGAUAAAGGAACCCUGGGUGGUUACUUCUGAGGUAAUGGAAGAGGAUCACCAAAAAGAAAGCAGAAGAAAGACAAAAAGGGAGCAAAAGAAAGUCAGAGUGAUGUUAAACAAAUAACCUAAUGAUGUACUUCAAAAUCUCAGACAAACGAGUACAAACCAGCCGCAAAACAGAGAAAAAAGAAAGUAAAACAGAAAAUUAAAACAACCAUAGCAGUUAUUAAUGAAAUGGAGAUUUAAGUAUCAAUCAAUCAAUCAAUCAAGGAGUUGGUUCUUCGAAAAGAAGUAAUCAAAACUGCAAGGCCCCUAUCCUGAUUAACCAAAAGAAUAAACAGGAAGUUCUAAUUAACAAUGGACUGGACCCUCAAAACUCUACGUGAGGUCAAAUUAUACUGAAGAAGAAAAUUAAUGGAGUGCUGGCACAAAACCAGACAUGUAGAUCAAUGGAAUACAACAGAAGACCGAGAGCCAAC
rnacentral:lncRNA from 14 species